GGUGAAAAGCACCCCGGAAGGGGAGUGAAAUAGAACCUGAAACCGUGUGCUUACAAGUAGUCAGAGCCCGUUAAUGGGUGAUGGCGUGCCUUUUGUAGAAUGAACCGGCGAGUUACGAUUUGAUGCAAGGUUAAGCAGUAAAUGUGGAGCCGUAGCGAAAGCGAGUCUGAAUAGGGCGUUUAGUAUUUGGUCGUAGACCCGAAACCAGGUGAUCUACCCUUGGUCAGGUUGAAGUUCAGGUAACACUGAAUGGAGGACCGAACCGACUUACGUUGAAAAGUGAGCGGAUGAACUGAGGGUAGCGGAGAAAUUCCAAUCGAACCUGGAGAUAGCUGGUUCUCUCCGAAAUAGCUUUAGGGCUAGCCUCAAGUGAUGAUUAUUGGAGGUAGAGCACUGUUUGGACGAGGGGCCCCUCUCGGGUUACCGAAUUCAGACAAACUCCGAAUGCCAAUUAAUUUAACUUGGGAGUCAGAACAUGGGUGAUAAGGUCCGUGUUCGAAAGGGAAACAGCCCAGACCACCAGCUAAGGUCCCAAAAUAUAUGUUAAGUGGAAAAGGAUGUGGCGUUGCCCAGACAACUAGGAUGUUGGCUUAGAAGCAGCCAUCAUUUAAAGAGUGCGUAAUAGCUCACUAGUCGAGUGACACUGCGCCGAAAAUGUACCGGGGCUAAACAUAUUACCGAAGCUGUGGAUUGUCCUUUGGACAAUGGUAGGAGAGCGUUCUAAGGGCGUUGAAGCAUGAUCGUAAGGACAUGUGGAGCGCUUAGAAGUGAGAAUGCCGGUGUGAGUAGCGAAAGACGGGUGAGAAUCCCGUCCACCGAUUGACUAAGGUUUCCAGAGGAAGGCUCGUCCGCUCUGGGUUAGUCGGGUCCUAAGCUGAGGCCGACAGGCGUAGGCGAUGGAUAACAGGUUGAUAUUCCUGUACCACCUAUAAUC
rnacentral:rRNA from 1 species